AUACGAAGGGGGCUAGCGUUGUUCGGAAUCACUGGGCGUAAAGCGCGCGUAGGUGGAUCAAUUAGUUGAGGGUGAAAUCCCGGGGCUCAACCUCGGAACUGCCUUCAAUACUGUUGAUCUUGAGACCGAGAGAGGUGAGUGGAAUUCCUAGUGUAGAGGUGAAAUUCGUAGAUAUUAGGAAGAACACCAGUGGCGAAGGCGGCUCACUGGCUCGGUACUGACGCUGAGGUGCGAAAGCGAGGGGAGCAAACAGGAUUAGAAACCCCAGUAGUCC
rnacentral:rRNA from 1 species